rfam:Glossina fuscipes fuscipes unplaced genomic scaffold Scaffold204, whole genome shotgun sequence.
UCUUGCAUUGCCUCACUCAACUUGGGUUUGAUGUGUUUCGAUAGCAUCACAACCUCUUUGAGUGAGCUACAGCAAGU